rnacentral:rRNA from 1 species
UACGUAGGGUGCAAGCGUUAAUCGGAAUUACUGGGCGUAAAGCGUGCGCAGGCGGUUGUGUAAGUCUGUCGUGAAAUCCCCGGGCUCAACCUGGGAAUUGCGAUGGAGACUGCACGGCUAGAGUGUGUCAGAUGGGGGUAGAAUUCCACGUGUAGCAGUGAAAUGCGUAGAUAUGUGGAGGAACACCGAUGGCGAAGGCAGCCCCCUGGGAUAACACUGACGCUCAUGCACGGAAGCGUGGGGAGCAAACAGG